GGGGCGUGCGGGUGGGCAGCGGGUGGGGGGGGCCGGGCUGAGCCCCCCCCCAGCCCGGGACAAGCUGCCCCAGGGCCCCGUGUGGGGGGAUGGGGGGGUCACGGGGGCUGAUUAAGACACGUCCCGUGUCGCGACGGGAGCGCGCGGUGUCGCGCGGAGUGUGCGCGGGAACGCGCGGGCAGCGCGGGGACACGGCAGCGGCACCGCAACGACAUGGAACGGCACCGGAACAGCCACGGUACCGGCACCGGAAUGGCCACAGCACCGGCAUGGCAUGGCCAUGGUACCGGCACCGGAACGGCCACAGCAUGGCCAUGGUAUCGGCACCGGAACGGCCACAGCACUGGCAUGGCACGGUCGUGGUGCCGGCACUGGCACGGCCACAGUACCAGCACUGGAACGGCCCCAGCACCGGCAUGGCAGGGCCACGGUACCGGCAUGGCCAUGGCACCAGCACCGUGCCCUCAUUGCACCAACAGGAGUUGCCAUGGCACUGACAUGGCACGACACGCGUGGCCGUGGCACCGGCGUUGCGCCCACUGGCACUGACAUGGCACAGCCACGGCACCGUCACGGCCACCACCGGGCUCGGGGGGCACCGCCCGGGUGCCGCGGCCCCGCCCGUGGCCCGAAGGCACGAGGUGGGACCGGUGCUGUGCCAGGGGUGGGGGGCAAACCCCCGAACCUGUGCCCCCCGCCCAGUGCGGGCGUUAGUGUUGGGCUCCUAUUGCACCGCCCGCAGCCGGUGCUGCCGGGACCCCCAAACUGGGACCCCUCAAAGUGGGGACCCCCAAACUGGGGGUCCCAGCAGGCCCCCCCCCGAGCCAGGCCCCUGGGUGGGGGUUUAAGACAUUUUGCACCAAGGUCCAAUCCGGCGCUGGUAUUUGGGGCUAGGGGCAGGCACCCCCUCACCCAGGGCACCCCACAGCCCCGCUGUGCCCCCCAACCCAGCUGCAAGGGGUCUGGCAGGGCCCCCCCAACACAACCCCAAUGGUUGGAGGGGAGUUUGGGGUAUGGGGGGAGCCCAGCCCGGCCC
rnacentral:lncRNA from 1 species